GGGCCAAAGAGGGUAAUAGCCCCGUAAAUGACCCAACCGCAUCUCAACCAUAUGGUACACUUCCAGAGAGUCGUGUUGCUCGGGACUGCAGCACAAAAUGGGUGGUAAUAUCCAUCUAAAGCUAAAUAUUCGCUGGAGACCGAUAGCGAACAAGUACCGUGAGGGAAAGAUGAAAAGAACUUUGAAAAGAAAGUGAAAAGUACGUGAAACCGUUAAGGGUGAAGCGAGAUACUCCUAUUGUGCCUGUGCUAGUUUGUAUUGCUACUUAGCUUUACUUCAACUGGUCUAGGCCGAUCUGAUGGCUUUGGACUGCUUCAAAACACCGUGCAGGAGGGAAGCAUCGAUUUUGUUCGUUGCGAAUGCUGCCGGCUUCGGAGUGGACUGGAGUGAGGAAACGAUGCGAUUACGUGAUCAUUGCGGCUUCUUGUUAUGUGGGCUUGGAUCCUUUGUGAUGCUGGUCUGCUUAGUGGGUAGUCGUAGUGUGAUCGGUACGCGUCCAUGAUCAGGUUCUAUGGAGUGUCCCGACCCGUCUUGAAACACGGACCAAGGAGUCUAACAUGUGUGCGAGUAUUUGGGUGGAAAACCCUGAUGCGCAGAGAAAUCAAGAGGAGGGACGGCUUGCCUGCACCUCCGGCUGCACUUGAUCUUUUGUGAAAAGUCUAGCAAGAGCAUAUAUGUUGGGACCCGAAAGAUGGUGAACUAUGCUUGUGCAGGAUGAAGUCAGGGGAAACCCUKGAUGGAAGUCCGAAGCGAUACUGACGUGCAAAUCGUUCGUCUGACAUGAGUAUAGGGGGCGAAAGACUAAUCGAACCAUCUAGUAGCUGGUUCCCUCCGAAGUUUCCCUCAGGAUAGCUGAAACUCAUUGAGUCUCAUCAGGUAAAGCGAAUGAUUAGAGGAAUUGGGGUUGAAACAACCUCGGCCUAUUCUCAAACUUUAAAUGGGUGAGAAGCGCAGAUUACUUAAUUGAAUCGGCGCAUUGGAUCGGAGUUUUUAGUGGGCCAUUUUUGGUAAGCAGAACUGGCGAUGCGGGAUGAACCGGAAGCUUGGAUAAGGUGCCUAAGUGUCGGCUCAUUCAGAUACCAUAAAAGGUGUUGGUUGAUGAAGACAGCAGGACGGUGGUCAUGGAAGUCGAAAUCCGCUAAGGAGUGUGUAACAACUCACCUGCCGAAUCAAUUAGCCCUGAAAAUGGAUGGCGCUCAAGCCGGCCACCGAGACCAAGCCAUUGGAGCAAAUGCGAAGCUCCAAUGAGUAGGAGGGCGUGACGGUAGCACCGAAGCCCUGGGCGCAAGCUCGGUGUGAAGCUGCCGUUAGUGCAGAUCUUGGUGUUAGUAGCAAAUAUUCAAAU
rnacentral:rRNA from 1 species